AUGGAAGUGAGGAUCCUUUCCCUAGCUGAUCGACUAUGAUUAUACUGUGUGCAAAUGUAAUCCUUUAUCAGAGGAUUCAAAGCCAGAAAUCUGAUCCAU
rfam:Triticum aestivum genome assembly, contig: Triticum_aestivum_CS42_TGACv1_scaffold_393087_5AS